GAUGAACGCUGGCGGCGUGCCUAAUACAUGCAAGUCGAGCGAAUGGAUUGAGAGCUUGCUCUUAUGAAGUUAGCGGCGGACGGGUGAGUAACACGUGGGUAACCUGCCCAUAAGACUGGGAUAACUCCGGGAAACCGGGGCUAAUACCGGAUAACAUUUUGAACCGCAUGGUUCGAAAUUGAAAGGCGGCUUCGGCUGUCACUUAUGGAUGGAACCGCGUCGCCUUAGCUAGUUGGUGCGGUAACGGCUCACCAAGGCAACGAUGCGUAGCCGAGCUGAGAGGUUGAUCGGCCGCACUGGGACUAGGACACGGCCCAGACUCCUACGGGAGGCAGCAGUAGGGAAUCUUCCGCAAUGGACGAAAGUCUGACGGGGCAACGCCGCGUGAGUGAUGAAGGCUUUCGGGUCGUAAAACUCUGUUGUUAGGGAAGAACAAGUGCUAGUUGAAUAAGCUAGCACCUUGACGGUACCUAACCAGAAAGCCACGGCUAACUACGUGCCAGCCGCCGCCGUAA
rnacentral:rRNA from 1 species